UACGUAGGGUGCAAGCGUUAAUCGGAAUUACUGGGCGUAAAGCGUGCGCAGGCGGUGAUGUAAGACAGAUGUGAAAUCCCCGGGCUCAACCUGGGAACCGCAUUUGUGACUGCAUAGCUGGAGUACGGCAGAGGGGGAUGGAAUUCCGCGUGUAGCAGUGAAAUGCGUAGAUAUGCGGAGGAACACCGAUGGCGAAGGCAGUCCCCUGGGCCUGUACUGACGCUCAUGCACGAAAGCGUGGGGAGCAAACAGG
rnacentral:rRNA from 1 species